rnacentral:rRNA from 1 species
AACGAACGCUGGCGGCAUGCCUAACACAUGCAAGUCGAACGAAACCUUCGGGCUUAUUUGCGCACGGCUGCGUAACGCGUGGGAACCUGCCCUUGAGUUCGCAACAACUCCCCGAAAGAGGUCCUAAUACCGGAUAAUCUCUUCGGUCCCAAGAUCUAUCGCCUUGGGGUGGGCGCGCGUUGGAUUAGCUAGUUGGUAGUGUAAAAGCCUACCAAGACGUGGUUGCAUAGCUGGUUUGAGAGCAUGAUCAGCCACACUGGCGCUGAGACACGGCCCAGACUGCUACGCAAGGGAGGAGGGUAGAAGACUGGACGCUGGGGGAGGGCCUGAUCCAGCCAUGCCGGGUAAGUCGGGAAGGCGGUAGGAAAGGGAAGCUGUUUUAGACGGGGCGUGAAUGACGGUACCGGGAGAAUAAGCACCGGCUAACUCCGUG